rnacentral:rRNA from 1 species
CUGGUAUUAUUGAUUUCUACCUUCUGACGAACCAUGAUGUCAUUAAUUUGGUGUCAUGGGGAAUCAGGACUGUUACUUUGAAAAAAUUAGAGUGUUUAAAGCAAGCACACGCUUGAAUACAUUAGCAUGGAAUAAUGAAAUAGGACGUUUGACCCUAUUUUGUUGGUUUCUAGGAUCGACGUAAUGAUUAAUAGGGAUAGUUGGGGGCAUUAGUAUUCAAUUGUCAGAGGUGAAAUUCUUGGAUUUAUUGAAGACUAACUACGGCGAAAGCAUUUGCCAAGGAUGUUUUCAUUAAUCAAGAACGAAAGUUAGGGGAUCAAAAACGAUCAGAUACCGUCGUAGUCUUAACCAUAAACUAUGCCGACAGGGAUCGGAUGAUGUUAAUUUUUUAAUGACUC